CCUACGGGUGGCAGCAGUGGGGAAUAUUGGACAAUGGGCGCAAGCCUGACCCAGCAACGCCGCGUGAGUGAAGAAGGCUUUCGGUUUGUAAACUUCUUUUGUCAGGGAAGAAAAUGACGGUACCUGACUAAGAAGCCCCGGCUAACUACGUGCCAGCAGCCGCGGUAAUACGUAGGGGACAAGCGUUAUCCGGAUUUACUGGGUGUAAAGGGAGCGUAGACGGCAACACAAGUCUGGAGUGAAAUCCCGGGGCUUAACCCCGGGACUGCUUUGGAAACUGUGCGGCUGGAGUGCAGGAGGGGUAAGCGGAAUUCCUAGUGUAGCGGUGAAAUGCGUAGAUAUUAGGAGGAACACCGGUGGCGAAGGCGGCUUACUGGACUGUAACUGACGUUGAGGCUCGAAAGCGUGGGGAGCAAACAGGAUUAGAUACCCCUGUAGUC
rnacentral:rRNA from 1 species